rnacentral:rRNA from 1 species
GCCCUUGUGCCAGCAGCCGCGGUAAUACGGAGGAUGCGAGCGUUAUCCGGAUUUAUUGGGUUUAAAGGGUGCGUAGGUGGUAAUUUAAGUCAGCGGUGAAAGUUUGUGGCUCAACCAUAAAAUUGCCGUUGAAACUGGGUUACUUGAGUGUGUUUGAGGUAGGCGGAAUGCGUGGUGUAGCGGUGAAAUGCAUAGAUAUCACGCAGAACUCCAAUUGCGAAGGCAGCUUACUAAACCAUAACUGACACUGAAGCACGAAAGCGUGGGUAUCAAACAGGAUUAGAUACCCUGGUAGUCCACGCAGUAAACGAUGAUUACUAGGAGUUUGCGAUACACAGUAAGCUCUACAGCGAAAGCGUUAAGUAAUCCACCUGGGGAGUACGCCGGCAACGGUGAAACUCAAAGGAAUUGACGGGGGCCCGCACAAGCGGAGGAACAUGUGGUUUAAUUCGAUGAUACGCGAGGAACCUUACCCGGGUUUGAACGUAGUCAGACCGACCUUGAAAGAGGUCUUCUAGCAAUAGCUGAUUACGAGGUGCUGCAUGGUUGUCGUCAGCUCGUGUCGUGAGGUGUCGGCUUAAGUGCCAUAACGAGCGCAACCCUUAUCACUAGUUACUAACAGGUCGUGCUGAGGACUCUGGUGAGACUGCCAGCGUAAGCUGUGAGGAAGGUGGGGAUGACGUCAAAUCAGCACGGCCCUUACAUCCGGGGCGACACACGUGUUACAAUGGCAUGGACAAAGGGCAGCUACCUGGCGACAGGAUGCUAAUCUCUAAACCAUGUCUCAGUUCGGAUCGGAGUCUGCAACUCGACUCCGUGAAGCUGGAUUCGCUAGUAAUCGCGCAUCAGCCAUGGCGCGGUGAAUACGUUC